rnacentral:rRNA from 1 species
GACGAACGCUGGCUGCGUGCUUAACACAUGCAAGUCGAACGGAAAGGCCCUGCUUUUGUUGGUUGCUCGAUUGGCGAACGGGUGAGUAACACGUGAGUAACCUGCCCUUGUCUUUGGGAUAACUUCAGGAAACUGGGGCUAAUACCGGAUAUGAGCUCCUGCUGCAUGUUGGGGGUUGGAAAGUUUCGGCGGUUGGGGAUGGACUCGCGGCUUAUCAGCUUGUUGGUGGGGUAGUGGCUUACCAAGGCUUUGACGGGUAGCCGGCCUGAGAGGGUGACCGGCCACAUUGGGACUGAGAUACGGCCCAGACUCCUACGGGAGGCAGCAGUGGGGAAUAUUGCACAAUGGGCGGAAGCCUGAUGCAGCAACGCCGCGUGCGGGAUGACGGCCUUCGGGUUGUAAACCGCUUUCGCCUGUGACGAAGCGUGAGUGACGGUAAUGGGUAAAGAAGCACCGGCUAACUACGUG